UUAAGUCGACCGCCUGGGGAGUACGGCCGCAAGGUUAAAACUCAAAUGAAUUGACGGGGGCCCGCACAAGCGGUGGAGCAUGUGGUUUAAUUCGAUGCAACGCGAAGAACCUUACCUGGUCUUGACAUCCACGGAAGUUUUCAGAGAUGAGAAUGUGCCUUCGGGAACCGUGAGACAGGUGCUGCAUGGCUGUCGUCAGCUCGUGUUGUGAAAUGUUGGGUUAAGUCCCGCAACGAGCGCAACCCUUAUCCUUUGUUGCCAGCGGUCCGGCCGGGAACUCAAAGGAGACUGCCAGUGAUAAACUGGAGGAAGGUGGGGAUGACGUCA
rnacentral:rRNA from 1 species